rnacentral:lncRNA from 1 species
AUGAGGCCUCAGUGGCAGUGUAAGUUCAGAUCUUCAGGUAGAUCCCGGUUCUAACUCGUUUAUUUAUUCAUUCAACAAACACUCACCACUUACUGUGUGCCAAGUACUGCCCCAAGUAUUGGUAUAAGAAGAUGAGUAUGACACAGUGCCAGCCGCCAAGGAGCUCACCAUCUACCUGGGGAGACAAAUAGGGUACCAUGCACAAGCUCCUUCCCUGAAGAUUGGAUACCAUUUCUCUUUGAGUGAAAAGAGAUACAACUGCCUAACUAUAAACAGGAUUCUCUCUUCUUCCAAGAGAUGUCUACCAACGGCCUCUCCCUCCCCUAUACUGCGUACAUCAGAGACCUUCAGCCCUUGAUUGUGGAUCGCCUGAUGUCUUCUCUGCUGCCUCCUUCUGUACUUGUGGCACCUACUGGCAGUUUUGGUUUGUGGAGGACACACGUGGGACCUCUCUCUCACACUCUCCUGGGGGUGGAAAUGGCAGAUCCCCUCCUGGGCAGGGUGGCCCCAUUGAGGUUGAUUCUGGGAGACGACCCUGUGGGAGGCGACUGUCUGCUACGGCGGAAGCCCGGGACACCCCUUCCUCGGGGAGCCUUUCCUUUCUCCUCUGGUGGCGAGGCUGAUGCCUCCUCCCUGACUUGGUGA